UGGCGGCGUGCCUAAUACAUGCAAGUCGAACGGCUUUUCUAUGGAAGCUUGCUUCCGACUGAGAAGAUAGUGGCGGACGGGUGAGUAACACGUGGGUAACCUGCCCAUAAGAGGGGGAUAACAUCCGGAAACGGGUGCUAAUACCGCAUAGUUUUCUUGAUCGCAUGAUUGAGAAAGGAAAGACGGCCUUUGUGCUGUCGCUUAUGGAUGGACCCGCGGCGUAUUAGUUAGUUGGUGAGGUAACGGCUCACCAAGACGAUGAUACGUAGCCGACCUGAGAGGGUGAUCGGCCACAUUGGGACUGAGACACGGCCCAAACUCCUACGGGAGGCAGCAGUAGGGAAUCUUCCGCAAUGGACGAAAGUCUGACGGAGCAACGCCGCGUGAGUGAAGAAAAGGUUUUCGGAUCGUAAAACUCUGUUGUCAGAGAAGAACAAGUCGGAGAGUAACUGCUCCGGCCUUGACGGUAUCUGACCAGAAAGCCACGGCUAACUACGUGCCAGCAGCCGC
rnacentral:rRNA from 1 species